GAUGAACGCUGGCGGCGUGCUUAACACAUGCAAGUCGAACGGUGAAAGAGAGCUUGCUCUCUGGAUCAGCGGCGAACGGGUGAGUAACACGUGAGCAAUCUGCCCCUGACUCUGGGAUAAGCGCUGGAAACGGCGUCUAAUACCGGAUACGAGCUGCGAAGGCAUCUUCAGCAGCUGGAAAGAACUUCGGUCAGGGAUGAGCUCGCGGCCUAUCAGCUAGUUGGUGAGGUAAUGGCUCACCAAGGCGUCGACGGGUAGCCGGCCUGAGAGGGUGACCGGCCACACUGGGACUGAGACACGGCCCAGACUCCUACGGGAGGCAGCAGUGGGGAAUAUUGCACAAUGGGCGCAAGCCUGAUGCAGCAACGCCGCGUGAGGGACGACGGCCUUCGGGUUGUAAACCUCUUUUAGCAGGGAAGGAGCGAAAGUGACGGUACCUGCAGAAAAAGCACCGGCUAACUACGUGCCAGCCGCCGCAGUAACAC
rnacentral:rRNA from 1 species